AGUAUCUGCCUGAGAACUACGAGCACAAAGGCUUAAAACUCUAAGGACUUGGUGGUGCUCCAAACCCACCCAGAGGAGCCUGUUCUGUAAUCGAUAACCCACGAUACACCCAAGCCCUUCUCGCCCAAAGCAGCCUACGUCCCGCCGUCCCCAGCUCACCUUCUCUGAGAGCCCCAACAGUGAGCACAACAACACCCCGCUAGUGAGACAGGUCAAGGUAUAGCCCAUGAAGGGGAAGAAAUGGGCUACAUUUUCUAAACUAGAAAAGAGGCCUGAAAUGGCCCCUAGAAGGAGGAUUUAGCAGUAAAGAGGAGUAAGAAUACCCUCUUAAACUCGGCCCUGGAG
rnacentral:rRNA from 1 species